rnacentral:tRNA from 1 species
GCAUCUGUUGCUAAGUGGUAGAAUUCUCACUUUCCACGUAGGAGACCUAGGUUCGAUUCCCAGCGAAUGCC